AAAGAUGAUACCCAAUUUGUUAAGUAUCCAGCUCAAAAAAAUAUUGAAUUUAAAUUUAAAUUUAAUUUUUGAAAUUGGUAUUGUAAUGUAAAAUUUUAAUUUUGAAAUUUAUAUUAAAUUUUUAAAUUUGAAUCUAAAUUGAACUUUUAAUCUUAAAGCCAAACUUUAAUUUUUGAUUUAAAUUGAAAUUUUGAAUUGGAACUAAAAUUUUUAUUUUAAAUAUGUGUUUUAUAUUUAAAAAAAUUUGAAUUUGAUUUAUAAAGUUUUAAAUGUUGUUUUGAAUUUAAAUUUACAGCUUGGUUGUAAUUUGAAAUUCAACUAUUAUUGUAGGUAUUUAAGAGGGUGACAAUAUUCUUAGUUGAAUAAAACAAGUUUUGUUAACCAAACUAUCUUAUAAAGACUAAAAUACCCUUUAAAUAGGUAUCUGGUGAAUGGUACCUAUGCUUCAAUAGCAAGUCACCUCUAGAAUCAUAUUAAAUCUAAACCAUCUAUUAAAAAAAAUAAAUGGUCAAGAUUUUUGUGGUGUAUUGAGGUAUUCCUUUUUGAAAUUUAGUAAAGAGAAGUAUUUGCUCUCGGGCUUGGGUUUUUAGUUUUGGUCGAGUUUUGUUUUGAUUAUGGAUUUCUGAAAUAUGAUGUGUUUGGAUUCAGAUUUAGUAGUCAAGUUCGAGUUCGGAUUUUUAAAAUUCUACUCUGAAUCCAACCUACUAACAUUCCUAUUCUUAUAUUUUUAUGUUUUUUCUCAUA
rnacentral:lncRNA from 1 species